GUCUUUUUGGGUUAAUUAAAAAGUCUGUUCUGCUCAAUGAAAAUUUUUAAAUAGCUGCGGUAAUUUAACUGUACAAAGGUAGCAUAAUAAUUAGUUUGUUAAAUGUGAACUGGAAUGAAAGAAUUGAUGAGAAAUUGACUCUCUUUAUCUUACUAUAAAUUGAAUUUAACUUUUGAGUAAAAAGGCUUAAGUGUUGUUAAGGGACAAGAAGACCCUAUAGAAUUUAAUAAUUUAGAAUAUAUUUUUUAUUAAUUAAAUUAUUUAGUUGGGGUGAUUGGAAUAAGAGAAAAACUUUUUUUUAUUUUGACAUUGAUGAAUGGGGACUUGAAUUAAUUUAGUAAUUGUAAGAUAAAAUUACCUUAGGGAUAACAGUAUAAUUUUUAUGGAGAGUUCAUAUCGAAAUAAAAGUUUAUAACCUCGAUGUUGAAUUAAGAUUGAUUUAGAAUGCAGGAAUUUAAAAGGUUAGGUCUGUUCGACCUUAAAAUCUUACA
rnacentral:rRNA from 1 species